UGGUACACGGUUUCCCGCGAC
rnacentral:misc_RNA from 1 species